rnacentral:lncRNA from 1 species
AACCGUUCGAUCUCUCUCACGAUCUCGCCGUCCUCUGAAUCUUGACCGUAGAUACCACGCGCGUGUUUUCUACGCGCUAUGUUUCUUAGUAAGUGCUUCUGUCCUCUUAAGAAAUGUUCGUUCGCGAACUCCCACCUGUCCGGAUCCACUUUCCUAAACCCCUAAAGAGAAAAAAAAGACAUAAAGAUUAGUGUCCGAAGACAAAACUUUGUUCUGUCUUUUCGAGUUUCGGCUCAGAACCUCUUAGCUAACCUCGAAAAAAGAACAAGAGAGUAGAUUAAUUACAUAGGUAUUGAGUUGACGAACGAAGCUGCUGAAGUUGUUGUGUUUGAAGUAAGCAGGCAAGAUCCGUUGAGAGAAGUCGAGAGGAUCAACGACUAUGAAACUAUUAUGAGCAGGACCCCAAGUGAUGAGCCAAUCGGUAGAAGGAUCGUUGACCAUCUGAUAUGUUUUCACAAUGAAAGGUGCGAUCACGUUGUUGUUGUUGUUGUUAUUAUUGUCUUCCUCCAUAUCUAUUUCUUCUCUUUCUCUCUCUCUCUUUUUUAUAUAUGGCUUUAUAUGUUUGUUGUUCGUAAAGAAAUUAAGAAGGAACCUGAAGGGUUUAUAUAAACAAAAAAAAAUAUAAAGUUGAAAUAGGAAAUUAAAAAUGUGAAAAUAGUAAGUGUUUUGUUGUGACAGUGAGACUAAUAUCGACGUGGCUUGCUUUUUGUGAUAACGUGGCGACUUCGUGUUUUGCUUUCACGGUGUUCACGGGGUGCAGAGCUGGGACCUCUAUGCAGGUGUCCUCAAAGCCCUCUCAGGUCUUUUUUGCCCUUUUUGGUUUUCUUAAUCUUAUAUUCUCUUAUGAUGAUGAUCCAGUGCAUAUGAAGCUGUGUGUUAUAAUCUUUAUCGAUCGUUUACUUAUGAAACUAUACUACUAUAUAGUGUUUGUAGGAAUCAGUCAUUGGUCUGGUCUGUAAAAUAUCUUAUAAAGUGAAAAAGUAAAGAUUCAAGCAAGCAUCAUGGAAUAGAAC